CUGGCGCCGCCGCCUCCUGGGCCUCGCGCCCUCGCCCUCACCGGCUCCCCACGACCCCGCCUCCAGCCCAAUCCCCCCACAGGCUUCCUCUUUCCCUCCACUCCCCCGACGCCGCCACUUGUGCUUGGCAGAAGGAGUGGCUGCGAUGAUGGCAGAUGCGUGAGGAGGACGAGGAGGAGGCCGUGGUCAUGGCGGCGCGACGGAUAUCGUGUUCGGGCGGCGCAGUUGGUCGAGGCAAAGGUGCCAGCGCUCGGGGUCGCAGUCGAGCUGGGCGUGAGGAGAGGGAGGAGUAGCAUCUUCCCGUGCUCUCCUAUCGUUGCCCUACCAUCUUCCACUGAUCUAAUUCGACCUGCAGGUCCUCCAACAUCAUCAACGGCUAAACCUAGCCGCUCGAACUGCUGGUGUGCGGCGUCGCCAUGGACACGGGCGCGGCGCCUGCACCUACGACUGUUUCCUCCGACGACUUCCGCGUUGCCUACGAGGCAUUCACCUCCUGGAUGGACUCUUUGGCGAUGGAGAGCUCAGGAUUCAUCACCCCCAACUGAAUCCACCGUGCUAUCAUAGGUUCCCUCCUCCUGGUCUUGCAUUGCCCCAACAUUUCCCAUUCUCUUGCACUUUGUUUGAUUUGUUGAUUUUGCUAUCCUAUAGUUCUGAAUGGGUCCCCAGCCCAGGCAAAACCAAUCUUAGUGGAAUCAUGUAGAUCAAAAGAUUUUGCUAUGUCAGUAUAAUUCUAUGAAUUAUAUAUUUCUUCCUGGAGAGUAACCUGUGUAAUCUUUGAAAGCAGCCUCAGCUUCGUGUUUAUGGUCUAUCAGCUUCGUGUUUAUGGUCUCUCAGCUUCGUGUGUAUGGUGCGGCUGCGUGGAAGCCGGUGACAAGUACAACCACUCUCUACUCACCUCUAAUAUGUAUGAAGCCGGUGACAGGUACAGCCUCUCUCUACUCACCUCUAAUAUAUAUGGGUUAACUCCCUCGAGAAAAGGAGUCUUUGCAAGGUCAGCCAGUACUCCGCUUCAGAUUCAGUAAUAUGCAGAAAUAUAUGCCAUCUUUUUCAAUAGUCUGCUCGCCUCCUCUACAUUAAAAGGUGUUUUGUUCUAUUUUUUUUCACUGUUUAUGUUGAUGGACGACAGAGCAAACUCUGUGAUUUAAAUAAUCAUCAACCACAUGUCAAUCAUUUCAAAUAAACAUUCUUUUUUUUGUACCGAAGAUGUGAAAUAGCUGCUUGGUGGAGGUGCCAGGAUUUAUGAAUUAGGCUAUCUGAUGGUGACGGUGCUUAUAUUUUAUAGUUUUACCUUCUUAUGCCCUUCGGAAUUAACAUGCAUCAAUGAAAAAAUGAUUUUUUUUACGUUUACAAUUUUGUUUAUGUACAUGCCUUAUUUAAACCACCUGCAUAUGUGAAGGCAUCGCUCGCGCCUGACGUUUUUGAUCGCCCGAUCGAUUCACCACAGACGGCGAUGGCACAGACCAGGAAUGCGUCGGCGGUGGCGCUACCUUGACAAGGAGGAAGACACUCUGCGACAUCAUCAACCUGAGGCGGUAGCGGCCAACACGAGGGGCAGCAGGACGGGUUGACGUGUGUGGACGGCGUGGAUGGGAUCGCGCAGUUGGUCAAGGCAAGAUUUCCCUUUCCCCUUCCUCGAUCUGCUAUGUCCUCGCUUCUUUGAGCAUGUGUUGAUGUGCAGGCUCACCUUUGCAGGUCUUGCUCGCCGCCGUUGGAUGUAAGCAGAGGCCUUGCCGUGGUCGAGGUCUCCUAGGCAGGUUUAUCUGCUUUGAGAUGUGCCAUAGUUUGAGAGGUAAGCUCUGGUGAUUCAAUUUUUUUGGCCGUCUAGGCAUCUUUGUUACAUGGAAUUAGGUAUCUUAGAUAAAGAACUACUAUCAAAUAAAAUAUGCAUAUGAGUUUCCAUAUCUCUUGGUUAUUUAUAUAUGUGUUACAUAUUAUUCCUAACCAAUUACUUAGUAUUACUUAGAGUGUGUUUGUUUGGGCUACAAUUUCAAUGCCUACAGCUGAAGGAGCGACUGUAGCUGCAGAGAGGCUUCAGAGCAUGAUAACAUUGUUUAUGAGAAAAAUCCACGACGGACUGAUAACCUACUUCUUCUAGGAAGUAUCUACUGUAAGUUUAUGACUUGGUGCUAGCUGAAGCUUGCAUUUUCUACCAAAACUGCUAUUAACAAAAGAACUCUAGCGACCCAGGAUUUUAUCCUUAACUGCUAUUAAACUCACAAGAGGGAGCAUUUUAAUAACAAAAGAACUCUAUCCAUGCUUUCUGAUAUACUGUGUAUAUGCAUGAUGUACUAGCAGUUCCUAUUUUUUGACUAUUGCGUACCAGAAAAAUGAAUUGGUAAUGUCUGUAUAAAUAUGAUGUAUUGAAUUAUGUUAUGAGAGGGAUUUGUUCAUUUCAAAACUAAGGAAGUUGUCAGUUCAAAAAAAUACUAAGGAAGUUGGAUGAGCUUAAAGCGCCUAUUCAGAAGUUAACUGAACUUUUCUAAUUGUAUUUUAAAUCCACAAGAGGGUAAAAUCAAUGCUCUUUCCCAGAUCAUCUAAAUCAGAUGGAUGGGCUCCAAACUCCCAGUGCCGUUUGUCGUUUUUGUGUUAUAACUUUUUACUUGAUUGCCUUUGGACAUAUGGUACUAUGGAGAGGUGACAUUAGCACAAUUGAUGGUUGUUUGUCCUCCCCUAUCAACCACAUCUGCUGACUCUAUAUGUUGAUAUAUCAACAAAACAAGAUAUCAUUGUUUUAUGGAGUUAACAGAUUAUUGAAGAUUUUUGCUGCCAUGGAAUUGUGAGUUUGUGACUAUACAUUCUUGUCCUACAUGUGAGUUGAAGAUAUAUUGUCUCUGUAUGUGAAUAUAAAUAUCCAGGUAAAUUUGAUGAUUCAUAAAUUAACGGUUGGAGAUCGGUAGGCAGUCAAGUGUAUUGAUAACUGGAGUUUAGAGCUCAAAAUCCUUCUAACUUUUCUACUAACUGUAUUUUCUUGACAGCUUCCAGAGAAGAACAAAUACUGUUAGUCAUUCUCUGGCAUGUAUAAUACAAUACUAGAGAUGUGAAUGGAUGUAGUUCAUUUAGUAGAGUAUUAGUAGAUGAUGAUUUCUUUUCUUCAGAGUCAACUGGUGUAUAUGCUGAUAUGUUUAGUCUGUUCCAAAAUUAAUUUGUAAAGUAGCCUGAACAAUUGUACAGUCUCUCUGUGUAUCAGUACUUUGUUUUUGGGCAACUUGAAGAAAUCAGUUUCUCAUGACAUGUGAAAAUGAGUUUAUUUACCUUAACUGUUGCUUUUAUUAGUUAAGAAAGAUGUUUGUGAGAUAGUCAUCACAGUGAAGCUUGGCGAAGGGACUUCUGGUGAGGCCUACAAGGCUGGAAGCACUGCAUGUAAAGUGGUACCCUCUCAUGGAUACUCAUUUGUCAACUAAUAGAUGGCCAUACUAGAGGCACAUGCAGCGCGCACACAAGGACCCUAACAGGUUGUAAAUGUGUACGUGGACAAUCUUUAAAUACCUAGAUUAUUAUUAUUUAAAUACCUGGAUGAUUAUUCCACAUAAACAGAGUCAUUGUCAUUUUAACACAAGAAGCAAGCAGUGUCCCGUAACACAGAUAGCUAAUGUUUGUGUUGAGUAGCAAAAUUCAUUCAUUAGUCAUGGGG